GAUGAACGCUGGCGGCGUGCCUAAUACAUGCAAGUCGAGCGAACGGACGAGAAGCUUGCUUCUCUGAUGUUAGCGGCGGACGGGUGAGUAACACGUGGAUAACCUACCUAUAAGACUGGGAUAACUUCGGGAAACCGUAGCUAAUACCGGAUAAUAUUUUGAACCGCAUGGUUCAAAAGUGAAAGACGGUCUUGCUGUCACUUAUAGAUGGAUCCGCGCUGCAUUAGCUAGUUGGUAAGGUAACGGCUUACCAAGGCAACGAUGCAUAGCCGACCUGAGAGGGUGAUCGGCCACACUGGAACUGAGACACGGUCCAGACUCCUACGGGAGGCAGCAAUAGGGAAUCUUCCGCAAUGGGCGAAAGCCUGACGGAGCAACGCCGCGUGAGUGAUGAAGGUCUUCGGAUCGUAAAACUCUGUUAUUAGGGAAGAACAUAUGUGUAAGUAACUGUGCACAUCUUGACGGUACCUAAUCAGAAAGCCACGGCUAACUACGUG
rnacentral:rRNA from 1 species